rnacentral:rRNA from 1 species
AUUGAACGCUGGCGGCAUGCUUUACACAUGCAAGUCGAACGGUAACAGGCCUUCGGGUGCUGACGAGUGGCGAACGGGUGAGUAAUGCAUCGGAACGUGCCCAGAGGUGGGGGAUAACGCAGCGAAAGCUGUGCUAAUACCGCAUGUGAUCUGAGGAUGAAAGCGGGGGACCAGGCAGCAAUGUUUGGCCUCGCGCCUUUGGAGCGGCCGAUGUCAGAUUAGGUAGUUGGUGGGGUAAAGGCCUACCAAGCCGACGAUCUGUAGCUGGUCUGAGAGGACGACAAGCCACACUGGGACUGAGACACGGCCCAGACUCCUACGGGAGGCAGCAGUGGGGAAUUUUGUACAAUGGGCGCAAGCCUGAUCCAGCAAUGCCGCGUGCGGGAAGAAGGCCUUCGGGUUGUAAACCGCUUUUGUACGGAACGAAAAGGCUCUGGCUAAUACCUGGGGCUGAUGACGGUACCGGAAGAAUAAGCACCGGCUAACUACGUG